rnacentral:tRNA from 1 species
UAUAUUAUAAUGUAUUAUGCAUAAAAAUUUUUGAAAUUUUUAGAUUUAGUUUGAUUCUAAAUGAUAUAA